AGACAACCUUUUGCGUGGUAGCUUUCAUGGGGGUGAAUAGCGGCCAUCUUGGAUUAUCAGUGGUAGCAAUCUGUAGCAACGCAGUGAUGUAUAAAUUGAGGUUCUAAAUACUUAGCAAAUUUAUUUUAUUAAAUAAAAAAACUAUAAAUAUUGUUGCUUAAUAUAAAAGAAAAUUAUUUAUUAAUGUUAUAUAUUUACCAAUAGAUUUCUCGGUGGUGAGUUUUCUUCUGAAUGUAUUUGUUUACAUUUGACCGACAGAAAAAAUAAAAGGUGCAGCUUUCAAUAUUCGAACAUUAAAAUAAAUCAAAACAAAGUUUAUUUUGUAUAAAGUUACUAAAUAUUUUAUUUAAAGUUUGGAGUGAACAUAGGUUUUAUACAAUAGAAAAUGUCCGUUGAACCAGAUAUCGCCAAUGAAGCGGUACUUAAAAGAAGUGAAAAAGCACGGAAAACAUACCCAUCGUGCGGAGCUAUAAUUGGAAUCAAGGAAUUGAUUACUCAAAAUUAUUUGAGUCGUGUGUUAAUACGGGGUUUCAAGCUACUAAUCUUGUGUUGGCAAUAAAAGAAAUCAAUCUAAUGGCAGCAGCCAUUGAAACCUGAAGAAGCCGAUUAGCAUGAAACGGAUGAAUUCAUUAGACGAAAACAAUAUUCCUUGGAUUCACAUCACAUUCGUCACCAGAAGAUCUAUGUAUUUAUAUAUUUGAUCAAGGACUGUUAACUCGUUUUAGAUUAUUUAAUUUAUUAGUAUAUGUAUUUCUCAGUUAUAUAACUCUCUUUAUUCCAACGAAAUUAUUAACGUUAUAAAUAUUUUUAAUAAUUUAUUUUUUAAUCUUUAAGUUUUGCAUAUUCCACACCACCCCUGAGGUUUGCAAUAAGGCGCGUUACCGACUUUUUUUAGGUGUUCGGUUCCCCGGUAGGCCUAUUUUCACCUUUACGACUUAAAAUAAACAUAAUUAAUAAUUUACAUAAAAAUUUAAAUAUAAAUAUUGCACAAAAUGUUUAAUAAGCUCCCACAAUAGAUGCAUCAAAAAUCCUAUAACUCUAUUAAAUAUAUUAAAAUACAGAAACUAACUUUAAAAGGGGGAGGUAGUUACCUAUGUGAAAUGCACAAAAAUUUUAUGUGCCGAAAAUGAGGGCUGGCUGCCUGCUUAUUAAAAAUUCUUAAAGAAAAAUAUGUCCUAAUUCUAAUAAAAAGGAAUUUUAAAACGUCGGGUUGUGAGUUUUCGCAGCAAUAAAAAGGCUCUACAUCUCCCAUCAUACUAUGUAAUUUUUUUGAAAAUCCUACAAGAUGACAACAAGAAUCAAAAUUGUCAUUCAAUAUAGCAUCAAGUUUUUUCAAAAAAUCUAUGAAGGGUUCAGGAGCUUUUACCAGAUUUGACGAAUCGUACACUUUUUCUUUUGUAAAAGUGAAUGCGUCUUCAGGGAUCUGGUCUUUUUCAAAAAGUGGCAAAGGUUGGGAACAAUUAUGCAAUUUAAAAUAUUCAUAAUACAUAUAACCACAAAAAUAUGCAAAUGAAUUUCGCUGUAGGAAAUCGCUUUCAAUUACAUCGAUUUCGAUACAAUUCCUAACAUUAUAGGGGCUAUCUAAGAACGGUCUUGGCAAACCUUGAAAUGUCUGCCAAGAACUAUCCUGAAUCAAAGGGUCAUUACAUACCCUUUCAAGGGUAUUGAAAGAAAAUAUCUCUAAAUCUCUACCCUGCAGAGAUUCACAAUUGCCACGUGUCACAAAUUUGACAUGUCUAAGGCCCCAAGAUUGGCGGAAAAGGUCAGAAAACAUAGAAGGAGUUGUUCUGGCGUUUAAUCCUCCCCCUUUCCUAAUCUGUCCGAAGUAGUGUUCCAGUUCGUCUUGGCAAAGUCUUCUUGUCUUAAUAUAUUCAAAUCCCUCCCGGGACAAUAUGCGCCACAAUCGUCUUAAACUGCGAAUGUUAAGAAACCAACCUCUAAUGAACGAAAAUGUAUUUGUGAUAUCUCGACCAAACAUAUCACAAACAGUGAUAGAGUUAAGUGCUUCUUCGGCUUCUACUAAAAAAUUCAUUUGAUCUAAGCUGCCCGAAAAGGGUUCACCAUAUUUUUUCAAUGUUCCGAGGUAUUUACUAUUAAAAAUAUUGAAAAGUUGGUCGAAAAACAAUACAAACUCCGCGGUAUUUAAAAAAGUUUGGGACAGAGAUGUAUUUAAGUGACCCGUUGUAUACAUGGCUAACAUUGCGCUAGCAAUUGUAUUGCUAAAGACUUGGGCAGCUAAACGUACAUUCAUUUUUUGAAAAGUACUGGGCUUUAAAUGUGCGGAAGUCAAUUUUGGCGCACAUCGAAUAUCACGAUGUGAAUCCUGUUGAUGGAAAUGAACUAUAUCUUUCCAAUCUACAGGAUGCCCACGAAAUUGUACAUGGUUUUUGAAGUUUUCAAUACAAUUUCUCGUACUCUUUAACAGGUGAGGAGAAUCAUAAAAGAACACGAUUUCUUCACCGUUAACUUCAAAAUAGGGCCUAUCAUCUGUAAUCCCCACUACCUUAGCAAAAUUAACAAAAUUGGAUCCUUGAUCACAGACUAAUUGACAGGUAUGAAGACCUAUUCCCUGGAGUUUCUCAAUCACUUCAAAAACAUACUUCCGAACCACAUCCCCUUUACAAGAAUUAUGGACGAAAAAGUAAGCAACUGGUUGAGACCAGGAGUUGCCUCCAAUGCCUUGAGCCAUUACUGUAAAAACACUGUUGGCUAUCCUGGACGUGCGAUUUUCAUCCCCAUAGUCCUCCAAUCCUACUAUAAAAUCCCUAUACCUAUCAUAUUUCAAAUGAGUUUUCAAUGACAUUUCAUCACAACACAAUGAAAUGUAUUUCUCCUCAUUACUAAAGCCUCGGCUACGCAACUCCAGGGACUUAAUGCUGCAAAAUGAGCAUCCAGGAUUUCUUGGCCAACCUUUUACAAAUUUUGAAAGGGUGGUUGUAGAAGGCCAAUGAAAAAGGGGUCGCAAAUAUCUAUAGGCCAAAGGAGAUGUGAAUUUUACUCCAAGGGCUAUAGUCUUCAUAUUUUUGCUAUAUCUGCGACCUGAAGGGCUGCGAGAAGUAUUUUUUACACUAUUUCGGACACAUAUUGCGAGAUGCGGUGGUAAUUUGCCACAAAUCUCAUCAAUUUGGGGAUGGAUAUUGUUUUGAUUAAUUAAAUAAUCUUUUUGGGCUUUUAGCUCUAAUAUCUCCUGCUCUUUUUCUUUGAUUAACUUCAUUAAUAAUGAAAUUUGAUUCAUCGCAUUGUCAAGUUGUUCUUGGCAAUUUCGAUGACUGAAGGAUCCAUCGCAGAGAUAUGAUUCGGUUUGGGUCCCCUGACAUCGAACCCCAAAAGGAAUCACUUCUGCCCUAGCUUUUUCUGUUUCCCUAAAAUAAUCAAAACCCUCCUCCUGAGCAGCAAAAUCCUCAGGCCCUAAUCGAAUUACCCCGUCAUCUGCGUCCGUCUGUUCGACUAAGCUACCUAUUCCAACCCCUAAAUUAUUUUUUGUAAUUCCAUCUACUGUGGGUGCGUACAAAUUACUAUCGGGGACUGCCCCUUUACUUAGCUUUAAUUUGUUCCUCAUCCGGAACGAGAAAUGGCGCUGGCAGGCGAAUUGCUCUUUUUUUGGGGUGUCUGUUACCCCCAAAAGUUGCAUCCAUUUUCCUCGUCUAUAAAAAUUUUCAUAAAUUUAAGAAAAGAAUAUGCAAGCAAAAUGGUUAGUAUAAAACAAAUAAAUCUUGGUUAGUUUUUUUUUUAAUAAAAAUUAAAAUGGUGCAAAAAAAAUUAAAACGCAUGAAAAGCAUUAAAUUGGUUAGUUUUUUAAAAUAAAAAUUUAAAUGGUGCAAAAAAAACUUAAAACGCAUGAAAAGCAUUAAAUAAAUGCAUGAAGUGAACCAACCUUUUUAGAGGCAUCAUUUAAA